CUUCGGAUUGUAAACCCCUGUCACCUGGGACUAAACCUCGGCGUAGAGCCGAGCUGAAAUAACCAGGAGAGGAAGCAGUGGCAAACUCUGUGC
rnacentral:rRNA from 1 species